CAGGCAGACGGGGAUGGAGUCCCCCAAAACCGCUCCUUCGGGGAGCUGAUGACUCCUGCAGGCGU
rnacentral:ncRNA from 2 species